ACGCUCGACACCUACGGGAGGCUGCAGUGGGGAAUAUUGCACAAUGGGGGAAACCCUGAUGCAGCAACGCCGCGUGAAGGAAGACGGUUUUCGGAUUGUAAACUUCUGUUCUUAGUGAAGAUAGUGACGGUAGCUAAGGAGCAAGCCACGGCUAACUACGUGCCAGUAGCCGCGGUAAUCUGAGGCGGGCGUGGCAAGGC
rnacentral:rRNA from 1 species